rnacentral:rRNA from 1 species
AAUAGAUACCCGGGUAGUCCAUGCCGUAAACGUUGGGCGCUAGAUGUAGGGACCAUUCCACGGUUUCUGUGUCGCAGCUAACGCAUUAAGCGCCCCGCCUGGGGAGUACGGCCGCAAGGCUAAAACUCAAAGGAAUUGACGGGGGCCCGCACAAGCGGCGGAGCAUGCGGAUUAAUUCGAUGCAACGCGAAGAACCUUACCAAGGCUUGACAUAUACCGGAAAAGUGCAGGAAUGCACUCCCCGCAAGGUCGGUAUACAGGUGGUGCAUGGUUGUCGUCAGCUCGUGUCGUGAGAUGUUGGGUUAAGUCCCGCAACGAGCGCAACCCUCGUUCUUUGUUGCCAGCACGUAAUGGUGGGAGCUCAAAGGAGACUGCCGGGGUCAACUCGGAGGAAGGUGGGGAUGACGUCAAAUCAUCAUGCCCCUUAUGUCUUGGGCUUCACGCAUGCUACAAUGGCCAGUCAAAGGGCUGCAAUACCGUAAGGUGGAGCGAAUCCCAAAAAGCUGGUCUCAGUUCGGA